CAAUGACCAAAUAACAGGGUGGACUUCUUGUCUUCAUAUAGGAUAGUAUCGAUGGCAAAAAGGGCUCAUCAAUUAUCUUCAAAGAGAAAAAAGAUUGGAUAUGUGUCAAAUAUAAUUUUCCGUUGUCGUAAUACGUGAAGUCUUGCUUGAGAAUGCUCCGGGCACCUAGCUGUGAAAGGAAGAAUAGAAAUUACAAUAACAAAAUCCUAAUUCUAAUAGAAUACUAACAAUGCUCUAAUUAGACCAUAAUAAUGCUAAGCAAGCUUAAUCAAAUUCAAAAAAACCUCAAAGAAAUUUCAAACAAACAAUAAGAAUUCUUAAAGAAAUAUUAGAAGGAUCACAAAUAUCACACAAAUAUAUCUCAAUUCAAUCUCAAUUUCAUUCUAGUUAAAAUUCUAUUGAACUUCAUUAAAACUUUAGGCCAAAUCUAAUUGAAUCUUAAAUCCUAAUAAAAUCCUAAAUCCUAAAUCAAACCCUAAACAAACCUUAAACCAAAUCUCAACCAAAUCCUAAACCAAAUCCUAACCAAAUCCCAAACCAAACCCUAAAUCCUAAAUAAAAUCCUAACUAAAUCCUAAACCAAAUCCUAACCAAACCUUAAACCCUAAAUCAAAUCCUAACAAAAUCCUAAAUCUUAAAUAAACCCUAACCAAACCUUAAACCCUAAACCAAAUCCUAACCAAAUCCUAAAUCCUAAAUCAAAUCCUAAUCCAAAUCCUAAAUCCUAAACCAAAUCCUAAUCAAAUCUUAAUCCUAAACCAAAUCCUAAUCCAAACCCUAAUCAAACCUUAAACCAAAUC
rnacentral:lncRNA from 1 species